rnacentral:lncRNA from 10 species
CCCGAACGUGCCGCGCGAGCCGCGGUGCCCCCUCCUCUUUGCUGCUGCAGUGUCUGCGCCGGGCCAUUUAAUGAGAUUUAUUCACGCACGGCUCUUCUCAGCUUUGCGAGGGGUUGGCAGAUCCAGUGCACAGGGAUUUCCCACUACCGUGUUUUUCUCCCGCCCCCUUCCUUCCCUCUCGUCCUAAUACAUCCUUCGUUGGUUUCCUCGGCCCCGCAGGCUGCGUCCCGGGCACGCGCAAGUACAUGUAAGGACUUGUCAGCUGCCGGUGACCUCCCUCCUCCCUCGUCGCUCCUCCCCCAGCGGAAUGUAGGAUUAACAGUCUUUCCGAGAAAAUUUUGGCCAAAGAAAAAGGCCUGUGAAAGUCACCGCGUUAGACGUGGCCUCCUCGUGUUUUUCACUAACACGUUAUGGAAGGUUUUACUACCCGAAGGCAUAAAAGCACCACCGUGGGGAAGGGCCGUUUUGAAUAAACAACUUUAUUCAAAAAUCGAGAGGGGGUGAAGCGAUGCAGUUAGGGAAUUUUUGUUUUAAAGAGUAGUAACAUGCAGCUGGCUUGGCUAUUAAAUUGGAAACAAGGGGUUCCUCUCUGACUUGGCCACUGAUAUUGGGCGUGACCUUGGACAAAUAAUUUUGUUUCUUUGGGCUCAGUUUCUACAUAUGUAAAACGGGAAGGUUUCUCUUAAAAACUAAUCCUGAAGGGUUUCUUCUCAACAAAAAGAUGCAAGCUGUAGGAGGCAGAAAGCGUGGGUUCAAGUUCGAAAUUUGCCCCUGAAUUAGGACCCUUGACACAUUUCUAACCCAUCCAAGUAGAGAUCGUUCUUUUACAUUUGUGUGUUAUACAGGUGCAUUUUAGUGGUUACCAGGUUGCCACGUAUUUGAAGUGGUGUGAGAGCUACUCGUUUGGAACCGUUGUGGAUUUUCAAAUAGGAAAAUCAAAAGGCCCAAAGAGACAGCUCACUGAACUGGUGUCCAUAGAAGACGAGAUUAGAACACAGACGUGUCCACACAGAGGAGAGACCAUGUGAGGACAGAAGGAGAAGACAGCCUCAGGAUGAAAUGAACCCUGCUGAAACCUUGAUCUUGGACUUCCAG